rnacentral:rRNA from 1 species
AUUGGAGCGGCCGAUGUCAGAUUAGGUAGUUGGUGGGGUAAAGGCCUACCAAGCCUACGAUCUGUAGCUGGUCUGAGAGGACGACCAGCCACACUGGGACUGAGACACGGCCCAGACUCCUACGGAGGGGGCAGCAGGUGGGGAAUUUUUGGACAAUGGGCGCAAGCCUGAUCCAGCCAUGCCGCGUGCAGGACGAAGGCCUUCGGGUUAGUAAACUGUCUUUUGUACAGAACGGAAAGGGCUCUGGUUAAUACCUGGGGCAGAUGACGGUACUGUAAGAAUAAGCACCGGCUAACUACGUG